GAUUCUCACCCGACACAGCUGUGAUUGUUUUGUGCAGAGGAAGCUCUUGUCCCUGGUAUGAGCUCUGUGCUGUGGAAUGGAGAGCUGUGUUUUUUUUUCUCUCUCCGUGUGUCUGCUAACGAUAAUGUGAACAAGCAACGUGAUUGCAGUCCUUGUUGUAACGAGCAGGAAAACAACGAAGGGACCCUGGCUCAAUAAUUUGCCGAGGCGCGAAUGAUCAGGAGUGGUUUCUCUUUGAACCAGACACUGAAGAUCAAGCUUAAAAGUGCCAAAUGCCCAGACUAGAGGACCACUGCUGGAGCUGCUCCUGUGCAUCAAGCGUUGAAACUAAGCACUCGUCUGGAGCUAACUGGUUAGCAUCCAAAGCUGAAGAGAUGAUGUCCAUCAUCACUUCGGUGCUCAGCAAUGCAUACGGCUCUCUGCAUGACGUCCGGACGGCCAACCUCAUCCGCCGGGGUCUAGUCCUCUUCACCGUCGGAGCGUUCCUCGCCCUGGUGCUCAACUUAUUGCAGAUUCAAAGAAAUGUCACCCUGUUUCCCGAGGAGGUGAUGACAACUUUGUUUUCGUCUGCCUGGUGGAUCCCACCUUGCUGCGGCACAGGAGCCGCUGUUGUCGGCCUGCUGUAUCCCUGCCUCGACAGCCAUUUGGGAGAGCCUCAUAAAUUCAAGCGGGAGUGGGCCAGCGUCAUGAGGUGCAUCGCGGUGUUCGUCGGCAUCAAUCACGCCAGUGUUAAACUAGACUUCGACAACAACGUGCAGCUCUCACUAACGCUGGCGGCCUUGUCCUUGGGCCUGUGGUGGACAUUCGACCGGUCCAGGAGCGGCUUUGGUUUGGGCAUCACCACUGCUGUCCUGGCUACCGUGUUUACACAGCUGCUGGUCUACAACGGAGUCUACCAGUAUACGUCUCCAGACUUCCUGUAUGUACGCUCCUGGCUCCCGUGCAUAUUCUUCUCCGGUGGAGUUACUGUGGGAAACAUCGGACGGCAACUUGCCAUGUUGGGAUCAGGCUGCAGUUGCGAUUUCACAGGAAACUGAAACUACUGAGUCACCUGAGGCUGUUAAGUUUCCACCAAUCAGCUUCCCUGUCAUCAAAACAGACUUUUAUCAUUGCAAGGAUCAUAAAUCUACAAUAAAGACGCUCAAUCUGAACCCCCUUUCUUCCAGCUGGCGGCGUCGAGAAACCCCACAUGGACUGAACAGAAAACCCCGGCGAAGGACAGCCGAAGUAAAGAUGGACAAGUUAUGUGAAGAACGAGGAGAAUAACAGGAGAAAAAAGACUCGUUGUUUUGACUUCAUCCUUUGUUCUCAUAACAAAGUGCGGGUCAGAAGAGCCCCUCAUCUAACGUGCCAUGUCCUCUGCACCUCCUUGUGGCCAAACCACUUCUCCCUCCCACCUCUGUUCUACUCCAUUAGCAUUAAGGCUUCCUCCACAAUAGACAGGAGGACAGUGUUUGCCUUUUUUUCUUUCUUUUUUUUUUAAAGUGAACUGGUUUUAUUUCCACGCCGGAAGGAUCUUCCUGCCGUUUAUGGAGUGGAAGCGUGUGCCCGAGUGUGGAUGCGUAUUGGUCUUAGCAGAGAAGACUUGUUUUGUUUAGUUUUUUAGCCUGAAUAUAUAUAUAUAUAUAUA